AGUGAACGCUGGCGGUAGGCCUAACACAUGCAAGUCGAACGGCAGCACAGUAAGAGCUUGCUCUUACGGGUGGCGAGUGGCGGACGGGUGAGGAAUACAUCGGAAUCUACUUUUUCGUGGGGGAUAACGUAGGGAAACUUACGCUAAUACCGCAUACGACCUACGGGUGAAAGCAGGGGAUCUUCGGACCUUGCGCGAUUGAAUGAGCCGAUGUCGGAUUAGCUAGUUGGCGGGGUAAAGGCCCACCAAGGCGACGAUCCGUAGCUGGUGUGAGAGGAUGAUCAGCCACACUGGAACUUGGACACGGUCCAGGCUCCUACGGGAGGCAGCAGUGGGGAAUAUUGGACAAUGGGCGCAAGCCUGAUCCAGCCAGACCGCGUGGGUGAAGAAGGCCUUCGGGUUGUAAAGCCCUUUUGUUGGGAAAGAAAAGCAGCAGGUUAAUACCCCGCUGUUCUGACGGUACCCAAAGAAUAAGCACCGGCUAACUUCGUG
rnacentral:rRNA from 1 species